rnacentral:rRNA from 1 species
UUGAUCCUGGCUCAGGACGAGCGCUGGCGGCGUGUCUAAUACAUGCAAGUCGAGCGAACGGACCUCAGAAAGCUUGCUUUCAGAGGCGAGUUAGCGGCGAACGGGUGAGUAACGCGUAAACAAUCUGCCUUCGGGUCCGGGAUAACAUCGGGAAACUGGUGCUAACACUGGAUAUUAUGACCACAUCGCAUGAUGAGGUUAUGAAACGGGGCUUCGGCUAGGCCUGAAGAUGAGUUUGCGUUCCAUUAGCUAGUUGGUGUGGUAACGGCGCACCAAGGCGACGAUGGGUAGCCGGCCUGAGAGGGUGAUCGGCCACAUUGGAACUGAGACACGGUCCAGACUCCUACGGGAGGCAGCAGUAGGGAAUAUUGCGCAAUGGGCGUUGAGCCUGACGCAGCGACGCCGCGUGAGUGAUGAAGGCCUUCGGGUCGUAAAGCUCUGUCAGCAGGGAAGAAGGUAGAGUAUGUGAAUAAUGUGCUUUACUUGACGGUACCUGCAGAAGAAGCGCCGGCUAACUACGUGCCAGCAGCCGCGGUAAUACGUAUGGGGCGAGCGUUGUUCGGAAUUAUUGGGCGUAAAGGGUUGCUACGCGGGGAAUUAAGUCAGAUGUGAAAGUUUGCGGCUCAACCGUAAAAUUGCCAUUUGAUACUGGUUUGCUAGAGUACUGGAGGGGAAACCGGAAUUUCUGGUGUAGCGGUGAAAUGCGCAGAUAUCAGAAAGAACACCGAUGGCGAAGGCAGGUUUCUGGACAGUAACUGACACUGAGGCUCGAAAGCGUGGGGAGCGAACGGGAUUAGAUACCCCGGUAGUCCACGCCGUAAACGUUGGGUGCUAGGUGUAGGAGGUACCGACCCCUUCUGUGCCGAAGUUAACGCAUUAAGCACCUCGCCUGGGGAGUACGCUCGCAAGGGUGAAACUCAAAGGAAUUGACGGGGGCCCGCACAAGCGGUGGAACAUGUGGUUUAAUUCGAUGCAACGCGAAGAACCUUACCUGGGUUUGACAUCCUCUGACAACUUUAGAGAUAAAGCUUUCCCUUCGGGGACAGAGUGACAGGUGCUGCAUGGCUGUCGUCAGCUCGUGUCGUGAGAUGUUGGGUUAAGUCCCGCAACGAGCGCAACCCCUGCUGUUAGUUAUUAACGGGUAAUGCCGAAGACUUUAACAGGACUGCCGGUGACAAACCGGAGGAAGGUGGGGACGACGUCAAGUCAUCAUGGCCUUUAUAUCCAGGGCUACACACGUGUUACAAUGGGGCGUACAAUGGGUCGCGAAGCCGCGAGGUGAAGCAAAUCCCAAAAAGCGUCCCCCAGUUCGGAUUGUAGGCUGCAACUCGCCUGCAUGAAGUAGGAAUCGCUAGUAAUCGCUGAUCAGCAGGCAGCGGUGAAUACGUUCUCGGGCCUUGUACACACCGCCCGUCACACCACGAAAGUUGGCUGUACCUGAAGCCGCCGGCCUAACCAUUAUGGAGGGAGGCGUCCACGGUAUGUCUGAUAAUUGGGGUGAA